UCCUGACGGUAGUCGUAUGCUCGUCUCCGAGACUAAGCCAUGCAAGUCCAAGUACACGUCCUUGAACGACGGAAACUGCGAACGGCUCAUUAAAUCAGUUGCGAUCUACUCGGCGUUCCGCGCCGCCGGAUAACCGUAGUAAUUCUAGGGCUAAUACGUGCGAAGCGCCCGAAGCCGCGAGGCGACGGGCGUUCUCGCCGGAUGUAGGAACCGACCCGGGGACCGCCGGGGCAACCCGGCGCCCCCGAGACGGGGCGAACCACGGUGAAAUGACGGAUCGUCGGCCCCGCGCCGGCGACUCGCCGAAUGAGUUUCUGACCUAUCAACUCGAGACGGCGGGGUAGAGGCCCGCCGCGGUAACGACGGGUAACGGGGAAUCAGGGUUCGAUUCCGGAGAGGGAGCCCGAGAAACGGCUACCACUUCCAAGGAAGGCAGCAGGCGCGCAACUUACCCUAAUCUCGAUUCGAGGAG
rnacentral:rRNA from 1 species